rnacentral:rRNA from 1 species
UACCAGCACCCCGAGUGGUCGGGACGUUUAUUGGGCCUAAAGCAUCCGUAGCCGGUUCUACAAGUCUUCCGUUAAAUCCAGCUGCUUAACCGAUGGGCUGCGGAAGAUACUAUGGAGCUAGGAGGCGGGAGAGGCAGCGGUACUCGAUGGGUAGGGGUAAAAUCCGUUGAUCCAUUGAAGACCACCAGUGGCGAAGGCGGCUUGCCAGAACGCGCUCGACGGUGAGGGAUGAAAGCUGGGGGAGCAAACCGG